GUGGGGAAUAUUGGACAAUGGGCGAAAGCCUGAUCCAGCCAUGCCGCGUGUGUGAAGAAGGUCUUCGGAUUGUAAAGCACUUUAAGUUGGGAGGAAGGGCAGUAAGUUAAUACCUUGCUGUUUUGACGUUACCGACAGAAUAAGCACCGGCUAACUUCGUGCCAGCAGCCGCGGUAAUACGAAGGGUGCAAGCGUUAAUCGGAAUUACUGGGCGUAAAGCGCGCGUAGGUGGUUCAGUAAGUUGGAAGUGAAAUCCCCGGGCUCAACCUGGGAACUGCUUUCAAAACUGCUGAGCUAGAGUACGGUAGAGGGUGGUGGAAUUUCCUGUGUAGCGGUGAAAUGCGUAGAUAUAGGAAGGAACACCAGUGGCGAAGGCGACCACCUGGACUGAUACUGACACUGAGGUGCGAAAGCGUGGGGAGCAAACAGGAUUAGAAACCCGAGUAGUCC
rnacentral:rRNA from 1 species